GACGAACGCUGGCGGCGUGCUUAACACAUGCAAGUCGAACGGAAAGGCCCUGCUUUUGUGGGGUGCUCGAGUGGCGAACGGGUGAGUAACACGUGAGUAACCUGCCCUUGACUUUGGGAUAACUUCAGGAAACUUGGGCUAAUACCGGAUAGGAGCUCCUGCUGCAUGGUGGGGGUUGGAAAGUUUCGGCGGUUGGGGAUGGACUCGCGGCUUAUCAGCUUGUUGGUGGGGUAGUGGCUUACCAAGGCUUUGACGGGUAGCCCGCCCGAGAGGGUGAACGGCGACCUUGGGCCUGAGAUACGGACCAGAGUCCUAUGGGAGGCAGCAGUGGCGAAUAUUGGACAAUGGGGGGAAGCGUGAUGAAGAAACGCCGCGUUUGGGAUGACGGUCUUUGGGUUGUAAACAGGCUCCGGCUGUGACGAAGCGUGAGUGACGGUACUGGGUAAAGAAGCACCGGCUAACUACGUG
rnacentral:rRNA from 1 species